AUUGAACGCUGGCGGCAGGCCUAACACAUGCCAGUCGAGCGGAUGAAGGGAGCUUGCUCCUGGAUUCAGCGGCGGACGGGUGAGUAAUGCCUAGGAAUCUGCCUGGUCGUGGGGGAUAACGUCCGGAAACGGGCGCUAAUACCGCAUACGUCCUGAGGGAGAAAGUGGGGGAUCUUCGGACCUCACGCUAUCAGAUGAGCUUAGGUCGGAUUAGCUAGUUGGUGGGGUAAAGGCCUACCAAGGCGACGAUCCGUAACUGGUCUGAGAGGAUGAUCAGUCACACUGGAACUGAGACACGGUCCAGACUCCUACGGGAGGCAGCAGUGGGGAAUAUUGGACAAUGGGCGAAAGCCUGAUCCAGCCAUGCCGCGUGUGUGAAGAAGGUCUUCGGAUUGUAAAGCACUUUAAGUUGGGAGGAAGGGCAGUAAGUUAAUACCUUGCUGUUUUGACGUUACCAACAGAAUAAGCACCGGCUAACUUCGUG
rnacentral:rRNA from 1 species